rnacentral:lncRNA from 1 species
UUCAACCAGUAGUUAACUCUCUUUUAUAUACCUGAAUAAACUGCUAGACAUAAGUCUCAGGCCUCGCACUAUUCCUUUCUCUAAUUAGUUUGGCAUAUCAUAACAACUCUGGGACGGUUUUAAACCACUACACAAUGUCAUAAUCAUAAUUGAAAAAGUUAUAAAAAAACAAAAUAUCAGAAGUGGAACUAAUGUCGGACCACCUUUUUCAAGCAUUAACAUCACUUGUCUUAACUCCUCAUCAGAAAAGAGAUUCACUCAAUAGCACAUAUGAAAUACGGAAAAAUUAAAUAUCAGUCUGGUUGAUUCAUGAGUAGAAACUUUCCUUCAAGUCAUUAGCAAUGCAGCAUAGCAGCAAAUCAAAGCAUAUAACAAGUUGUCUCCUUUUCCUCUAGGACACUUGUUUUCAUGCCUAUCCUUUUAUUCCCAAGAGUUAUGAUCUCCAUGCUGCAAGACACUAAAACAAAUAUGGUUAUAACUAUUGAAAAAUAUGUACUCAUGUUUAUUUUAUUUGAAAACUAAUUAAUGUAAGAGAAGAUUAUCGUUUUGCUUAAAUUCUAUCAAAGAAUGUCAAUUAUAGAUGCAAAAGCUUGGCAUCCAAUUUCUUUACGCUAUUCUAUAUGAGAACUCAUGAAUUUAAGAGGUGAUUGUUCAUUAAAUUCUAUCAGAGAACAUCAACUGUUGAUGCAGAAGAAUUCAGCAUAUUGUAUACGACAUCUUAAUUCCUCAGUGACCUUUGUUUUAUUACUUUUUUCACAAAAUAAUACAAAUAUUUUUCACAAAAAAUAUAUUGAACAUGAAAAUGUGCAUAUAACAUAUUUAGUGGCGGGAAUGUAAUAAGUAAUUUUCGGCGAGAAAGCAGUAAAGACCAAACAAUCACAAUACCUAGCAUUUUUUUUUGAUCGAAACACAAGACAUAAUUUCUUUUCAAGUUGUGAUUAUAAUAAUGUAAUAUCAGUAGAGAUGAAUUCAAACAGUGAAAUUUUAUUCUUCUCGAAGUUUAUCAACUGCAUAUCUUCUAUGGUGUCCAAUUUCAAAUGCGGGGACCUAAAAAGUUUCAUUUACCAGUAAAAUCAUUAAUGUUUUAUCAGGCAUUUCAUCAAACAUCUUAGAGUCAUCUACAUCAUGUCAGGUAAUUAUGAAUGAAAAAGAUUAGAUAACUGGAAUUUUUAAGCAAAAAUAAUUUAAAAUUAGACAUUAUGAAAGAAACUAUCACUAACUAUAACAUUUACACAUAAAGAACACCAUCAAAGUAUGUCUACCGGUACUGAAGUGUGCUUACUCGUAUUGUCAAAACUUAAUCUUCUAGCGAAUAAUUUGAUGCUUGAAAGCACUGAAGGAGAAAGAGAAUCGUAGUCUCUGAAAUGAAUAAAUAUUAAAAGAUAUGCAUGUUCCGGUUAGAUAAAGUUAUUGACAUAUGUAAAUCUAGCAAAAUCUACCACCAAACAAGUGCAAUAAAAAAGAUUAAUUAGACAAAAAACUUGCCAGAACUUCGAACCGAAACGAUAAAAAAUUAGCCAAAAGGGAGAAUCUUUGAAGAAAUACCCAAAAUAGAAAAGGUAUGAGAGAAAUUUAGGGAAGACCACAAAGAUGCAGAAGAAAUUAGAAGAAAAUGUACGAAUGUUCAGGAGAGAUGAGAAAGUAGCAUAACUGCGUAAAAAGAGUGGGUGAAUCUUUCUGAGUGGAAUACACGUGUGAAUGAAAAUGUGAGUCUUUCUGACUCAAU